UGAGGAACAUGACCUUCGGCGGGGGAUAGCCGGCCCAACGGCCGGGUAAUACCGCGUACGACCACAUGGGGACAUCCCUGAGUGGUGAAAGCAGCAAUGCGCCGAUGGAGUGCCUCGCGGCCUAUCAGCUAGUUGGUGAGGUAACGGCUCACCAAGGCGACGACGGGUAGCCGGCCUGAGAGGGUGACCGGCCACAUUGGAACUGAGACACGGUCCAGACCUCCUACGGGGAGGNGCAGGG
rnacentral:rRNA from 1 species